rnacentral:rRNA from 1 species
UACGGGGGGGGCAAGCGUUGGUCGGAAUUACUGGGCGUAAAGGGCUCGUAGGUGGCCAACUAAGUCAGACGUGAAAUCCCUCGGCUUAACCGGGGAACUGCGUCUGAUACUGGAUGGCUUGAGUUUGGGAGAGGGAUGCGGAAUUCCAGGUGUAGCGGUGAAAUGCGUAGAUAUCUGGAGGAACACCGGUGGCGAAGGCGGCAUCCUGGACCAACACUGACACUGAGGAGCGAAAGCCAGGGGAGCAAACGGG